GAUGAACGCUGGCGGCGUGCCUAAUACAUGCAAGUCGAGCGAACAGACGAGGAGCUUGCUCCUCUGACGUUAGCGGCGGACGGGUGAGUAAAACGUGGAUAACCUACCUAUAAGACUGGGAUAACUUCGGGAAACCGGAGCUACUACCGGAUAAUAUAUUGAACCGCAUGGUUCAAUAGUGAAAGACGGUUUUGCUGUCACUUAUAGAUGGAUCCGCGCCGCAUUAGCUAGUUGGUAAGGUAACGGCUUACCAAGGCAACGAUGCGUAGCCGACCUGAGAGGGUGAUCGGCCGCACUGGAACUGAGACACGGUCCAGACUCCUACGGGAGGCAGCAGUAGGGAAUCUUCCGCAAUGGGCGAAAGCCUGACGGAGCAACGCCGCGUGAGUGAUGAAGGUCUUCGGAUCGUAAAACUCUGUUAUUAGGGAAGAACAAAUGUGUAAGUAACUAUGCACGUCUUGACGGUACCUAAUCAGAAAGCCACGGCUAACUACGUG
rnacentral:rRNA from 1 species